rnacentral:lncRNA from 1 species
UCGUGUCGAGCAUCCACGACACCCCGAGAUGGAUAAGACCGCCCCCUCCUCCCCGAAACCCUAGCAUCCCCUUUUUCUUCCCUCUCGCGCCCCUGCCUCUCCUGCUCGACGCCCGUGCAUUGCCGUCACCGCCAUUCAUCGUUGCCGUCCUCUGGGUCAUCCCCGAGCUGCUACAAGGUGGCCACGAGCUUCCCCAACCUCGUCUCCUUCACCUAUGCCUCUGGAUCGAAGCCAAAGGGCCUUGUAUGCUCCACAUCGAGCCGCCAUCCCCACCACAGCCGCCACGGCCGUCGCCGUCGAUCCCCACCUCCGGCACCCCCUCGACCUGUUCGAGCACGGCCCCGACCUCCUCCCAGUGAGCCUCAUCGAUUCCCCCCUUUUCCCUUUUAUUCGUUGCCGUUUGCCGUCGUCCCCGAGCUCGGUUGUCCUCUUCCAUGGCCGCGUUCGAGCCUCAGUGUACGCGCACGUGCCGGUGCCUGCUCUUGCCCGUGACCGCGCCCUGAAUGUGACCCGCGCGCACCCGCGCCGCUGCUUUCCCCCGCGCCGACCUGCGCUCGUCGCCGCGCCCCUCGCUCUCGUGCAGCUGCUUGCCCGAGGGACGCGCCCGCGCAGGCCGCGUCCACCCUGUCGCUGCGCCGCUGCUACUGCUCCGCCGGGCCUGCUGCUCGCACUACUGCCGCGUUCUGCUGCUCACUGCUCGUUGGUACUGUUGUUCGCUGCUGCCAUCGCCCAUUGCUGCCGCUGCUGCCAACUAUUGCUACCCCUGUGUGCUGCUCACUGCUGGUGCUCAUUUGCUGCCCGGCCGGCCGCGCCGUGGCCAUGGCACAGCAUGGCUGCGUGCGUGUGAGCCCCUGUACGAGCGGCUAUGUUCUCCACAGCGUGGCCGACCAUUCUUAGUUAGGUUUAGGAUAGAUUAGAUUCUGGGCUAAAUUAGCCUAUGUCAAGUGGGCCCCUAUACUUAAUUAGUUUAGUUAAAUACUAGGCUUAUUUCUUUUAAUAGGGGUACUCUAUGACAUGCGGGACCAAGGGCACUAUUCAUCCUUUGACCUUUCAAACAUUUGACUGGCCAACUCAGUCAACAGGCCCACAUGUCAACGUCUAUAGCACCUUGCUGUGUGCACUUCAGUGUGUGCACAUAGCAUUCUUUUCUACUUUUUCGAAUUAAAAUUAAUCCAGUAAAUUUCAGAAAUUGUUUAAAACUUUAAAAAUUAAUGGAAAAUAAACCGUAGCUCAGAUGAAAAAGUUUUAGAUAUGAAAGUUGCUCAGAACGAUGAGACGAAUUCGAACACGCGGUCUGUUUACGUGUCAGAUGCCUCUCACUAUCUGAACAUGGAACUUUCCUUCUCCGGUCAUCUGUUUGACAAAGGUCCGGAACCGAGAAAACAUUCCCGGUUGACUUCCCCCUUCAUCGGUAUCAUGUAGCACCGCGUUAGAACACGUCUAGCUCUGUCUGUUGUCCUGUUAUGCACUUGCUUGCUAUGUUUUUACUGUUUCUCCCCCUCUUCUCUUCGGUAGACCCCGUGACGAUGCUGAUGCCGCUGUGAUCGACUACGUCACCGACGACCCCUUCUUCUUGUCUGAGUAACCAGGCAAGCAAACCCCCCUUGAGCAUUCCGAUAUCGCCUAUUUCUUUCCCUCUGAUACUUGCAUUAGAACUGCUACUUCUUUUUGUAUAAUCCUACUCUGAUGCAUAGCCUGAUUUUGUUACUUGCUUAUUGUUACCUUACCUGCUUAUCCUAAACUGCUUAGUAUAGGUUGAUUAUUGAUCCAUCAGUGACCCCCACCUUGUCCCAGUUGCCCCUCUUUAUGUUCGAUGACUCGAUUAAUGUGAUCGACGUCUAGGUCCCGACACCGCACAUCACCCCCCUAAUUGAACGACUUUGUAGAGUCACCAUCGAGUGCCGAGGGUGGAACCUCUUACAACACUCCUGGUGAGACCUCUGUAGUGUAGCUAUUCGGUCGUGGUCAUCGACGGUGAUUUCCUCCUUAACCACUUCCGAUACGGCUAUGUCGUGAAACCCCUUAAGUGUGAACCUCAGGGGUGGAUCCUCUUACAUUCACCUUGAUGAUUACAUCGAGUGGAAUUCACCGGGGGUGAUUCCUUGGGUUUUCCCCUUGAUGUUUGGACACACGGAUACUUGGACUUUACAGCUGUUACUUGGAAAGGCGGGUCAACCCUGAGAGGUACCCAUGAGUGAUGUGGAGACGGGUUGACCUGGAGAGUACCCGAGAGUUGAACAUGAGGCGUGGCCGGGCAUUCUUAGCCCUUGUCGCAAGUCCUCGAGACGGGGCGACAGGGUCACAUCUUUCGUGAGUCUCUGCUUGUUAUCGCGCGUUCCUAAUCCACUACGAUUUGGAUAUUUGAUCCGAGGGGCCUCUGGCCUGAUAGCACUAACCGUCACGUGGGCACAGUAUGGGUGUUCUGCGUUAUAUACAUCAGCCGAAGCUUAAUCGACGUCAGCGACUGAGCGGCGCGUGCCGGGUUGGACUGCGUAAGCUCCUACCUUAUUUAAGGAGGUAGCCAGGUCUGCUCAUCGGCCACGUACGCAACGUGCAGGAGUUCCCGGGGAGAUGGCCCAUGACCCCUGGGGGCAUAGGUUUAGUCCGGCGUGUUGACCUCUCUAUUAAGCCUAGGUCGGGUUGCGGCGUAUUGUUUGGCCGAGGCCAGGCAUGACCCAGGAAAGUGUGUUCGGCCGGAGUUAAUCGAGCGUGGUGGGUAAGUUGGUGCACCCCUGUAGGGAAGAAAACAUCUAUCGAUAGCCUGUCUUACGGUAACGGACACUUGGAGUUGUAUCCCGAUCGAUACAACUAGAACUGGAUACUUGAGAUGAGAAAUGGAUAUGAGAAAUGGAUAGUAUGGCUCUGGGAUUGCUUUCUCGUAGGGAGUCGAGAAAGGAUCUUUGGCCGAGGUUGAUAACACUACUACUACUUUAUAUUAUGUUUGAUCUAUACUCUUCUAUAUGCUGCAACAUGAUUGAAGAUGCUUGAAGAUGCUAGUCUUCGAUAUGCUAGGCUUUCCCCUUCUUUCUGGCAUUCUGCAGUUUAGUCCACAGAUACAACCCAUUUCCUUUGAUACUGAUGCAUACUUAGGUUAUAUCUGAUGUAAGUCUUGCGAGUACUUUGGAUGAGUACUCACGGCUGCUUUGCUACCUCUUUUCCCUCAUACCCGAUUGUUGCGACCAGAUGACGGAUCCCAGGAGCCAGACGACACCAUAAUGACUACUGCUACCCCGAGGGUGCGUACUACUACGUGACGGCCGCUGACGACUUGGAGUAGUUAGGAGGCUUCUAGGCAGGAGGCCUUGCCUUUUCGAUCGUUGUUGCUUUUGUGCUAGCCUUAUUAAGGCAAACUUGUUUAACUUAUGUUUGUACUCAGAUAUUGUUGCUUCCGCUGACUCUUAUGUAUUCGAGCUUGUGUACUCGAGCCCUCGAGGCCCCUGGCUUGUAAUAUAAAGCUUGUAUUAUUUUAAUUUGUGUCUAGAAUUGUGUUGUGAUAUAUUCCCGUGAGUCAUUGAUCUUGAUCGUACACAUUUGCGUGUAUGAUUAGUGUACGAUUGAAUCGAGGGCGUCAUAAGUUGGUAUCAG